UACGGGGGGGGGCAAGCGUUGUUCGGAAUUACUGGGCGUAAAGGGCUCGUAGGUGGCCAACUAAGUCAGACGUGAAAUCCCUCGGCUUAACCGGGGAACUGCGUCUGAUACUGGAUGGCUUGAGUUCGGGAGAGGGAUGCGGAAUUCCAGGUGUAGCGGUGAAAUGCGUAGAUAUCAGGAGGAACACCGAUGGCGAAGGCAGGUCUCUGGGCAUUAACUGACGCUGAGGAGCGAAAGCAUGGGGGAGCGAACAGG
rnacentral:rRNA from 1 species